GGCCUGAUAGCCAAGUGGUAAGGCAGGAGUCUGCAAAACUCCUAUCGCGGGUUCGAUUCCCGCUCAGGCCUCAA
rnacentral:tRNA from 2 species